AUGGUCUUAGCUUGCUAAGGCUGAUGGCGACCGGCGCACGGGUGAGUAACACGUAUCCAACUUGCCGUCUACUCUUGGCCAGCCUUCUGAAAGGAAGAUUCAUCCAGGAUGGCAUCAUGAGUUCACAUGUCCGCAUGAUUAAAGGUAUUUUCCGGUAGACGAUGGGGAUGCGUUCCAUUAGAUAGUAGGCGGGGUAACGGCCCACCUAGUCAACGAUGGAUAGGGGUUCUGAGAGGAAGGUCCCCCACAUUGGAACUGAGACACGGUCCAAACUCCUACGGGAGGCAGCAGUGAGGAAUAUUGGUCAAUGGGCGAUGGCCUGAACCAGCCAAGUAGCGUGAAGGAUGACUGCCCUAUGGGUUGUAAACUUCUUUUAUAAAGGAAUAAAGUCGGGUAUGCAUACCCGUUUGCAUGUACUUUAUGAAUAAGGAUCGGCUAACUCCGUGCCAGCAGCCGCGGUAAUACGGAGGAUCCGAGCGUUAUCCGGAUUUAUUGGGUUUAAAGGGAGCGUAGAUGGAUGUUUAAGUCAGUUGUGAAAGUUUGCGGCUCAACCGUAAAAUUGCAGUUGAUACUGGAUGUCUUGAGUGCAGUUGAGGCAGGCGGAAUUCGUGGUGUAGCGGUGAAAUGCUUAGAUAUCACGAAGAACUCCGAUUG
rnacentral:rRNA from 1 species